UCAUCUACAGAGCAUCAAGCGCUUCACACAUUGUGAAAGUUUCCCUUUGUGUUAUGACAGGAACCCAAGAUAAGUUGUUUAAUGCAGAGGACCUAGUAGGCUCAAUAGAAUUCCAAUGGGGCCUAGAAGAUGACAGUGCCAUAAAAUGGAAGAAAUCACAAUUUCUUAAUUCUUGAUGACUAAUAUGAGGAGAAACAAACUUCUAUUGUAAGUCACUGAGGCUUCAAGAUUUACCUGUUUCUGCACUGUUUCUACACUGUAACCUAUCAUAGCCUGAUUAAUACAGUGUUGUUCAAGUGUUUUAUGUCCUCAGUGACAUUUUAUCUGUUAAAUCUAGAAAUUACUAAAAAAAUGCUAAAUAUUCCACUCUGUUAGUAAAUUUUCCAAAUUUCUUCUUGUAUUUCUGGUGCUUACAAAUAUUUUCAAUUCCUAUUUUUUAUAUUUUUAGGUGCAUAUAAGUUUAGAAUGAUUCUAUUUCCCUGGUAAAUCUAGUCUCCUCUCAUUGUAUAGUGACUUUAUAUUUCAAAUAAUGUCUUUGCCUUAUAGUUUAUUUUGUUUGAUUGAAAUAUAA
rnacentral:lncRNA from 1 species